AAAGGGCGCGUAGGCGGUCUGUCAAGUCGGAUGUGAAAGCCCAGGGCUCAACCUUGGAAGUGCAUCCGAAACUGGCAGACUAGAAUCUCGGAGAGGGUGGUGGAAUUCCCAGUGUAGAGGUGAAAUUCGUAGAUAUUGGGAGGAACACCGGUGGCGAAGGCGACCGCCUGGACGAAGAUUGACGCUGAGGCGCGAAAGCGUGGGUAGCAAACAGGAUUAGAUACCCGUGU
rnacentral:rRNA from 1 species